GCCAUGCAUGUGUAAGCGAAGCAUAUUGUGGAGCGGCGAAAGGCUCAGUAACGGGCGAUUUAUUUAUUCUUCUGUGACGGACAACACCGGGAAACUGGUGGGAAAACGUCUAUACUGCAGGAGUARAAUUCUGUGGUAGAAAGAUUUAUCUGUGGAAGAGUAAGAUGCCAUCCUAUCAGUUAGUAAGUAGGGUAAGGGCCUACUUAGACGAAGACGGGUACGGGGAAUGAGGGUUUGAUUCCGGAGAGGGAGCCUGAGAGAUGGCUACCAGGACCAAGGUCAGCAGCAGGCGCGAAAAUUAUCGAAGCCCACUUUGGGGCGAUAGUGAGGAGACGUAAAUAUGAUGUACGGGUAAAGAACGUACUAUAAACUGGAGGUCAAGUCUGGUGCCAGCAUCCGCGGUAAUUCCAGCUCCAGGGGUGUCUAUGAUGAUUGCUGCGAUUAAAAAGUCCGUAGUCUAGCCGCACGACCAGUCUGGAAUGUUUCUGAUCAAAAGAAGAGCAGGGCUGGGAAGGCGGAGAAUUAGGAGCGACCAGGGGCUAGAGUAUUGAAUGGCGAGAGGUGAAAUUUGAUGACCCAUUCAGGAGUGACAAAGGCGAAGGCACUAGUCAAGGGCGAAUCCGAUGAUCAAGGACGUAGGCUAGAGUAUCGAAAACGAUUAGAGACCGGAGUAGUUCUAGCAGUAAACUAUGCCGACUUUGUGGCAGAGRUAUCUGUUGCAAACGAGAAAUCUUAAGUAAGGCUUUGGGGAGAGUACGCGCGCAAGCGAUAAAUUUAAAGGAAAUUGACGGAGGAACACCACAAGGAGUGGAGUGKGCGGGUUAAUUUGACUCA
rnacentral:rRNA from 1 species